AAUUCAGAGCCAUUAGCUAGAGUGAUUGACGGAGAGUCCGCCGGGGGCGCUAGAUGUAAGAGUCCAUUCGAAGGGGGUAGUCUGUGGUGUAGUGUGUAGCGUUCAACUAUUUUAAUAAAUCUAUCUCCUUGGUUUUUAUCAUCAUAUUAGUUUUCCACACUUUCACACAGGAAUUAAAUAAACAAGCGAUGGAAGAAAAGUCUCAUACUGAUAUGACAACCUUAAAAAGUAUGGAAGAUUAUCGAGCUCUUCUCAUGGCAAAUGAAAAAAUAGGUUUCCAAAUUAUGGUAAUGAAAAAUAAACUGCCGUGUGGAGUAUUUAGAUUUACUGAUACGAAAGAAGGUGACGGCCUAUCGGUAACGACUGAUAUUGCAAACGGAACCCUUUAUUAUCACUGUCGCGCGAAUAUUUGUGCGCUUCCACGUUUCUCCUUGCUUUCACCGAUGGACCAAACCGAAACCUAUGAAGUGCGAAACAAUGAGUUGUGUCUUGUGCCUAACCGAAGUGACCCAGUCUCAGAGAGCUCAUCAGAAGAGGAUUCAAUGAAGUGCACAAUUAUUUAAUAUUCUUGUAUUGCAUACACUUUCUCAGUUGUA